rnacentral:piRNA from 1 species
UGGAUACCUAAACUUAGGAAA